rfam:Cyphomyrmex costatus contig25261, whole genome shotgun sequence.
CAAACGGCCCUUUUUAGGGCCACCAUAAAAUACCCUGACUGACCAU